GGCGCUAUAGCCAAGUGGUUACGGCGACAGAUUCGAACCCACGUUGAACAUCUGUUCCUCUUUGAGGGCGCAAGUUCGAAUCUUGCUGGCGUCG
rnacentral:tRNA from 1 species